rnacentral:rRNA from 1 species
UACGUAGGGGGCAAGCGUUGUCCGGAUUUAUUGGGCGUAAAGAGCGUGUAGGCGGCCAGGUAGGUCUGCUGUGAAAACUCGAGGCUUAACCUCGAGCUGUCGGCGGAAACCAUCUGGCUAGAGUCCGGAAGAGGAGAAUGGAAUUCCCGGUGUAGCGGUGAAAUGCGCAGAUAUCAGGAGGAACACCAGUGGCGAAGGCGGCUGCCUGGACCCGGCCUGACGCUGGAGGCGCGAAAGCGGUGGGGAGCGAUCCGG